UAUCACUGUUGUUCGUAGGACCCCCAGGCACAAAGCUCACUAUGUGUAACGGAGGACAUUGUCCAUCAUAACAAAGGGCUAAAAAGUGAAGACAAACCAGCACGUACAAGGAGAUUAUGGGACAAUGUCAGUUAAAUGGGCUUGUCUCCUACACACGAGCAGAUGAAUCAUCAUCCGUGGUUUUGGGGAGGAUGUUUAGAUACUACAGCAAAGAGGUCAGUGCACACACUAUUUGCUCUGAAUGAGGAUGCCUGUUAGAGACAAGAGGUACUUCAAGGUGUGUAGGCAUUUUAGUUCUGGUCUCCUUUUGGUAUCUUCUGGUAGCAUUUAAAGCAUGAUGAUAGACUUACACAGUUAACAUUAAUUUCAGUUUCCUUAUCCUAACCUGAUCUUUUAUGAACUCUAAGUCUCAUUAUGUAGAACAACAACAACAAAAAAAUUACUAUCUCAGUGGAGCUGGUGUAACUGCAAAGAAACAAUAGCUCAAUAACUCUUGCUCUUUGACAAUAUGUCUGAACAUCCCUCUUCCUGCCAAGACAUUUGGAAGGAGGCUUAUUUUCUAAAACUUUGGGUGUGGAGAAUCAGAUUCUGAGUUCUUGGAGCUGACUCUGGUAGGUGUUCUGCUCUUCAGUGCAAUCCCCUUCAUGCUUUCAAGUGUGCAGUCAAAAAUACAAAUCAUUAACCCACAGUACUUUUAACAGAGCAGUUUUUAUUAACAAAAAUACAAAGAAAAUCAAUUAAAGCAUUUUGAAUACAGUGUUUCUGAUUUAAAUUAUUUCAGUAAUUACAACUGUUUCAGGCUAUGGAAAGCAAUAAGAGGAACAGAAAUUUAAUUAAUUUAACUCAUACCAUGCAUCUGAUGCUAGCAGAAUGCUAAGGGCAAUCAGUUAGUCAAACACUCUAAUGUUAGGUAGUACUAGAACUGGGAUCACCCAGUGGAUGUUAAUUCUACUGCUUCCUACUUCCUCUCAUCAUUGAAUAUCAGCCUGCUGACAAAGUUAUGAUGCAGAUUUGAAUGGAAGAACAACAUAGAAGAUAGCUGUACAUUUUUAAACGGUCUGCCUGCAAUGAACAAGUGCACUUUACUUUGCGAGCAAAGUUUUCAACUGCCUAGGAAAUGGUGGGAUGCCUCUGUUCUGAGCACUACUUUGGGACAGAGCAUGGCAUAAAACUAAAGGUAUGACUGCAGAGAGUUUAGCUCAACACAGAUUUUGCACAGUGGUGGUGCUGUGUCACGUGACCUGU
rnacentral:lncRNA from 1 species